GGAGCUUGCUCCUUGGGUGGCGAGUGGCGGACGGGUGAGGAAUACAUCGGAAUCUACUCUGUCGUGGGGGAUAACGUAGGGAAACUUACGCUAAUACCGCAUACGACCUACGGGUGAAAGCAGGGGAUCUUCGGACCUUGCGCGAUUGAAUGAGCCGAUGUCGGAUUAGCUAGUUGGCGGGGUAAAGGCCCACCAAGGCGCCGAUCCGUAGCUGGUCUGAGAGGAUGAUCAGCCACACUGGAACUGAGACACGGUCCAGACUCCUACGGGAGGCAGCAGUGGGGAAUAUUGGACAAUGGGCGCAAGCCUGAUCCAGCCAUACCGCGUGGGUGAAGAAGGCCUUCGGGUUUGUAAAGCCCUUUUGUUGGGAAAGAAAUCCAGCCGGCUAAUACCUGGUUGGGAUGACGGUACCCAAAGAAUAAGCACCGGCUAACUUCGUG
rnacentral:rRNA from 1 species